GGGUUAGACAUCAAAAUAGAUGUGAAUUUUGACAGGAUGCCAGCACUAAAAUUCUGAGCAGAUCACCAAAAGUUUGUCUGUAAAAUGGCUUUAAAACCACAAAGUAAAGUAUAUUCAAGACCACUAUUCUUUAAGCCCUUUGUUAUUAUUUUAGAUCAUUUAUUUGGCAAAGAUUGUAUCAGGUUUUCUGUGCAGCUGGUAUAAUGAAGUCAAACAAUAAUAGACUUAUUGGUGAAAACUGGCAACAUUGUAAUAUAUCAUAAGACCACAUGGGCUUGAUCUACAGCAGUAUCCACAAAGCAAUAGACAUACAGGGUCUCUCCAUGUAGCUCUGGCUUUUCUAGAACUUGCAGACCAGGCUGGCCUACAACUCACAGAAACUGCCUGUCUGUGCUUCAAGAGUGCUGGAUUAAAGACAUGCACCACCAA